rnacentral:rRNA from 1 species
UGGGGAAUCUUGCACAAUGGGGGAAACCCUGAUGCAGCGACGCCGCGUGAGCGAUGAAGGUUUUCGAAUCGUAAAGCUCUGUCCUAUGGGAAGAUAAUGACGGUACCAUGGGAGGAAGCCCCGGCUAACUACGUGCCAGCAGCCGCGGUAAUACGUAGGGGGCGAGCGUUGUCCGGAAUUACUGGGCGUAAAGGGUUCGCAGGCGGCAUGGCAAGUCCGAUGUAAAAGGCGAAGGCUCAACCUUCGUAAGCAUCGGAAACUGUCAAGCUUGAGUGAAGGAGAGGCAAGUGGAAUUCCUAGUGUAGCGGUGGAAUGCGUAGAUAAUAGGAGGAAUACCGGUGGCGAAGGCGACUUGCUGGACUUCAACUGACGCUGAGGAACGAAAGCGUGGGUAGCAAACAGG